AUGUACAUUCCUACAACAUAGCGUUAAUGCACUGAAUCCCAUUAGAACUCUGCAGUUAAGCAUGCUAAUUCUAGAGUAGUACUGGGAUGGGUGACCGCCCGAGAAGUCCUAGUGGUUUACAUG
rnacentral:rRNA from 1 species